rnacentral:rRNA from 1 species
GUCCACGCCGUAAACGAUGAGUGCUGGAUGUCAGGAGCUUUGACCCUCCUGGUGUCGUAGCUAACGCGAUAAGCACUCCGCCUGGGGAGUACGGCCGCAAGGCUAAAAACUCAAAGGAAUUGACGGGGGCCCCGCACAAGCGGUGGAGCAUGUGGUUUAAUUCGACGCAACGCGCAGAACCUUACCUGGGCUAGAAAAUGCAAGAACCUCGGUGAAAACUGAGGGUGCCUUUCGGGGAACUUGUAGUUAGGUGCUGCAUGGCUGUCGU